AGUUUGAUCCUGGCUCAGGAUGAACGCUAGCUACAGGCUUAACACAUGCAAGUCGAGGGGAAACGAUAGAGAAAGCUUGCUUUUUCUAGGCGUCGACCGGCGCACGGGUGAGUAACGCGUAUCCAACCUGCCCACCACUUGGGGAUAACCUUGCGAAAGUAAGACUAAUACCCAAUGAUAUCUCAAGAAGACAUCUGAAUGAGAUUAAAGAUUCAUCGGUGAUGGAUGGGGAUGCGUCUGAUUAGCUUGUUGGCGGGGUAACGGCCCACCAAGGCUACGAUCAGUAGGGGUUCUGAGAGGAAGGUCCCCCACAUUGGAACUGAGACACGGUCCAAACUCCUACGGGAGGCAGCAGUGAGGAAUAUUGGUCAAUGGGCGAGAGCCUGAACCAGCCAAGUAGCGUGCAGGAUGACGGCCCUAUGGGUUGUAAACUGCUUUUAUAAGGGAAUAAAGUGAGUCUCGUGAGACUUUUUGCAUGUACCUUAUGAAUAAGGACCGGCUAAUUCCGUGCCAGCAGCCGCGGUAAUACGGAAGGUCCGGGCGUUAUCCGGAUUUAUUGGGUUUAAAGGGAGCGUAGGCCGGAGAUUAAGCGUGUUGUGAAAUGUAGAUGCUCAACAUCUGCACUGCAGCGCGAACUGGUUUCCUUGAGUACGCACAAAGUGGGCGGAAUUCGUGGUGUAGCGGUGAAAUGCUUAGAUAUCACGAAGAACUCCGAUUGCGAAGGCAGCUCACUGGAGCGCAACUGACGCUGAAGCUCGAAAGUGCGGGUAUCGAACAGGAUUAGAUACCCUGGUAGUCCGCACGGUAAACGAUGGAUGCCCGCUGUUGGUCUGAAUAGGUCAGCGGCCAAGCGAAAGCAUUAAGCAUCCCACCUGGGGAGUACGCCGGCAACGGUGA
rnacentral:rRNA from 1 species